AGACGAACCGUACGAACGUUAUUCGGAAUUACUGGGCUUAAAGGGUGCGUAGGCUGCACGGAAAGUUGGGUGUGAAAGCCCUCAGCUCAACUGAGGAAUUGCAUCCAAAACUGCCGUGCUUGAGGGAGACAGAGGUGAGCGGAACUCAAGGUGGAGCGGUGAAAUGCGUUGAUAUCUUGAGGAACACCGGUGGCGAAAGCGGCUCACUGGGUCUCUUCUGACGCUGAGGCACGAAAGCUAAGGUAGCAAACGGGAUUAGAUACCCCAGUAGUCC
rnacentral:rRNA from 1 species